CCUACGGGUGGCAGCAGUGGGGGAUAUUGCACAAUGGGGGAAACCCUGAUGCAGCGACGCCGCGUGGGCGAAGAAGUAUUUCGGUAUGUAAAGCCCUAUCAGCAGGGAAGAAGGAAUGACGGUACCUGAGUAAGAAGCACCGGCUAAAUACGUGCCAGCAGCCGCGGUAAUACGUAUGGUGCAAGCGUUAUCCGGAUUUACUGGGUGUAAAGGGAGCGUAGACGGCAGUGCAAGUCUGGAGUGAAACGCGGGGGCUCAACCCCCGGACUGCUCUGGAAACUGUACGGCUGGAGUGCAGGAGAGGUAAGUGGAAUUCCUAGUGUAGCGGUGAAAUGCGUAGAUAUUAGGAGGAACACCAGUGGCGAAGGCGGCUUACUGGACUGUAACUGACGUUGAGGCUCGAAAGCGUGGGGAGCAAACAGGAUUAGAUACCCUAGUAGUC
rnacentral:rRNA from 1 species